rnacentral:rRNA from 1 species
AUUGAACGCUGGCGGAAUGCUUUACACAUGCAAGUCGAACGGCAGCACGGGGGCAACCCUGGUGGCGAGUGGCGAACGGGUGAGUAAUACAUCGGAACGUGCCCGGUCGUGGGGGAUAACGUAGCGAAAGUUACGCUAAUACCGCAUACGAUCUGAGGAUGAAAGCGGGGGACCUUCGGGCCUCGCGCGAUCGGAGCGGCCGAUGUCAGAUUAGGUAGUUGGUGGGGUAAAGGCCUACCAAGCCGACGAUCUGUAGCUGGUCUGAGAGGACGACCAGCCACACUGGGACUGAGACACGGCCCAGACUCCUACGGGAGGCAGCAGUGGGGAAUUUUGGACAAUGGGCGCAAGCCUGAUCCAGCCAUUCCGCGUGCAGGACGAAGGCCUUCGGGUUGUAAACUGCUUUUGUAUGGAACGAAAAGGCUCUGGCUAAUACCUGGGGCUCAUGACGGUACCGGAAGAAUAAGCACCGGCUAACUACGCG